rnacentral:tRNA from 1 species
GCUCGUUUAGCUUAAUAAGGAUAAAGCAUUAACCUUCUAAGUUAAGGAUUAUAGGUUCAAAUCCUAUAACGAGUA